CCUACGGGAGGCAGCAGUAGGGAAUAUUGCUCAAUGGGGGAAACCCUGAAGCAGCAACGCCGCGUGGAGGAUGAAGGUUUUCGGAUUGUAAACUCCUUUUGUUAGAGAAGAUAAUGACGGUAUCUAACGAAUAAGCACCGUCUAACUACGUGCCAGCAGCCGCGGUAAUACGGAGGGUGCAAGCGUUACUCGGAAUCACUGGGCGUAAAGAGCGCGUAGGCGGGAUAGCAAGUCAGAUGGGAAAUCCUAUGGCUUAACCAUAAAACUGCAGUUGAAACUGUUAGUCUUGAGUAUGGGAAGGGUAGGUGGAAUUCUUGGUGUAGGGGUAAAAUGCGUAGAGAUCAAGAGGAAUACUCAUUGCGAAGGCGACCUGCUAGAACAAAACUGACGCUGAUGCGCGAAAGCGUGGGGAGCAAACAGGAUUAGAUACCCGGGUAGUC
rnacentral:rRNA from 1 species